rnacentral:lncRNA from 1 species
UGUGUCCUCACCACCCUGCAGCCGUGCCUGGCCCGCAGAGGGCGGGGUCAUCAGGGGGUAGGUGGGGAGACCCAGCAGAGCCCAACAGCUGAGUUUUGGCUUCUGCCUGUUUUCAGAGACCUGGAGGCGAAACUGUGUGUUGAAGAUGCCCAGAGGCGGUGUGGGAAUUUGCAGAGGGAUUGGAGAGGGAGCUCCAGAUAUUACAGCGUUGGCCUCAAGAAACGAGCUCUCUGAAGGAUCAUCGUGUCAGUCUUAUUUCUUCGAUCGUGGCUCUCUCGUGCACCAGUUGCUGUACCAACCGCCCUGAUUUUAUGGCCAGCCUUAGACAUGUGAGAUUCCAAUUGACUGUGAGGCCCUGGAGGCGCCGGCAGGCAGGUGCCUGCCCACAGCAGCAGGGCGCCCUUAUUUUCCAGUCCGCCUCUCAAGGACAAACGUAAACCCUCCAAGAACACCGGUGGAGGGGCGGCCCUCUGAGUGCCUGGAAUCAUUGUUAGUAUCCUCAGAAUACUG